UAGACCCGAAACCCGGUGAUCUAGCCAUGGGCAGGUUGAAGGUUGGGUAACACUAACUGGAGGACCGAACCGACUAAUGUUGAAAAAUUAGCGGAUGACCUGUGGCUGGGGGUGAAAGGCCAAUCAAACCGGGAGAUAGCUGGUUCUCCCCGAAAGCUAUUUAGGUAGCGCCUCGUGAAUUCAUCUCCGGGGGUAGAGCACUGUUUCGGCUAGGGGGCCAUCCCGGCUUACCAACCCGAUGCAAACUGCGAAUACCGGAGAAUGUUAUCACGGGAGACACACGGCGGGUGCUAACGUCCGUCGUGAAGAGGGAAACAACCCAGACCGCCAGCUAAGGUCCCAAAGUCAUGGUUAAGUGGGAAACGAUGUGGGAAGGCCCAGACAGCCAGGAUGUUGGCUUAGAAGCAGCCAUCAUUUAAAGAAAGCGUAAUAGCUCACUGGUCGAGUCGGCCUGCGCGGAAGAUGUAACGGGGCUAAACCAUGCACCGAAGCUGCGGCAGCGAACGUAUCACC
rnacentral:rRNA from 2 species